rnacentral:rRNA from 1 species
GAGAAUCGGGGCGGCGUAAACAUGCAGUCGAACGAUAUAGACGAUAUUGUGCUUCUAUUAGAGAGCGAGCGGACUGGAGUGAAAAUGAAAAGAGCUGCCUGGUAGGGGGGGAUAACGUUCGGAAGCGGACGCUAAUGCCGCAUACGUCCUACGGGAGAGAGCAGGGGACCUUCGGGCCUUGCGCUAUCAGAUGAGCCUAGGUCGGAUUAGCUAGUUGGUGAGGUAAUGGCUCACCAAGGCGACGAUCCGUAACUGGUCUGAGAGGAUGAUCAGUCACACUGGAACUGAGACACGGUCCAGACUCCUACGGGAGGCAGCAGUGGGGAAUAUUGGACAAUGGGCGAAAGCCUGAUCCAGCCAUGCCGCGUGUGUGAAGAAGGUCUUCGGAUUGUAAAGCACUUUAAGUUGGGAGGAAGGGCAGUUACCUAGUACGUGAUUGUUUUGUCGUUACCGACAGACUAAUCACCGGCUACCUCUGUGCCAGCAGCCACGGUAGUACCAAGGGUGCAAGCGUUAAUCGGAGUUACUGGGCGUAAAAACGCGCGUAGCCGCGUUAUGGCGCGGGCCCCCGCCACUCCCUUUCAGUUUUUAGCUUUGCGCCUGCCCCCCCCCCGCGGAUGGAGUACAGGCUAUUGCGGCCCCACU